rnacentral:rRNA from 1 species
GGCAGCCGCGGUAAUUCCAGCUCCAAUAGCGUAUAUUAAAGUUGCUGCAGUUAAAAGCUCGUAGUUGAAUUUCGGGACCGAUAUAUCGGUCGUGCCUCGGUACGUACUGGUAUUUUCGGUUUCUACCUUCUGACGAACCUUGAUGUCAUUAAUUUGGUGUCUUGGGAAUCAGGACUGUUACUUGAAAAAAUUGAGUGUUUAAAGCAGGCUCACGCUUGAAUACAUUAGCAUGGAAUAAUGAAAUAGGACGUUUGAUUCUAUUUUGUUGGUUUCUAGGUAUUGACGUAAUGAUUAAUAGGGAUAGGUUGGGGCAUUAGUAUUCAAUUG